AAUGAUUGGGGUAUACUGAAAAAUCAACAUCGUGGCAUUGAUGAUUUGGAUUUGUUAAGAUACUGUUUCUUUUCUGCAUUUACGGUGGCACUGUUGCAUGACAGUCUUGGAAUCCCUUUGCAUGAUAAAAGAAUUGGAUUUGUAAACCAUACCGAGAAGAAUCCCCUUGAUUGGACUCUUGGAGCAUUCAUCUUCCAGUCAAAGCUGCAGUCCCUUGAACUGGAACGUGAGAAGCUGGACCAGGUUGUAGGAAAUGAGUCACUAACAUACUUCUCAUUGUUUGCUUUUCUGUUAAUAGUAUUACUUAGUGCUAUUUUUGUACUGCAAUGGCGAAAACCACAGAUAAAAACAAUAUACGAUCUUGAGAAAGGGCAUUAUAUUGUUACCCAAGUGCCCAGAUAAUUGUUUUCUUAUUUGAUAAGAAAUAUGUAUAUCUCUGCUGUAUAAUUGAUGAUGCUUGAAUCCGGGGGAAUUUUUGUUUUUUUUAUGGUGACUGUAGCCGCAUUUUGCAGUA